UACGUAGGGUGCGAGCGUUGUCCGGAGUUACUGGGCGUAAAGAGCUUGUAGGCGGUCCACCAAGUUUGGGGUGACAGUUGCCGACUUAAUCGGCAAAGUGCCUCAAAGACUGGCGGACUUGAGGGCCACAGAGGGACAUGGAACUCCAGGUGUAGUGGUGAAAUGCGUAGAUAUCUGGAAGAACACCAAAGGCGAAGGCAGUGUCCUGGGUGGUCGCUGACGCUGAGAGGCGAAAGCCAGGGGAGCGAACGGG
rnacentral:rRNA from 1 species